rnacentral:rRNA from 1 species
AAUGAACGCUGGCGGCAGGCCUAACACAUGCAAGUCGAACGGAUCCUUCGGGAUUAGUGGCGGACGGGUGAGUAACGCGUGGGAACAUACCCUUUGGUACGGAAUAGCCUCGGGAAACUGGGAGUAAUACCGUAUGUGCUCUUCGGAGGAAAGAUUUAUCGCCAAAGGAUUGGCCCCGCGUUGGAUUAGGUAGUUGGUGGGGUAAUGGCCUACCAAGCCGACGAUCCAUAGCUGGUUUGAGAGGAUGAUCAGCCACACUGGGACUGAGACACGGCCCAGACUCCUACGGGAGGCAGCAGUGGGGAAUCUUAGACAAUGGGGGAAACCCUGAUCUAGCCAUGCCGCGUGAUCGAUGAAGGCCUUAGGGUUGUAAAGAUCUUUCAGUGGGGAAGAUAAUGACGGUACCCACAGAAGAAGCCCCGGCUAACUCCGUGCCAGCA